rnacentral:rRNA from 1 species
UACGUAGGGGGCAAGCGUUGUCCGGAUUUAUUGGGCGUAAAGAGCGUGUAGGCGGCUAUACAGGUCCGUUGUGAAAACUCGAGGCUCAACCUCGAGACGCCGAUGGAAACCGUAUGGCUAGAGUCCGGAAGAGGAGAGCGGAAUUCCUGGUGUAGCGGUGAAAUGCGCAGAUAUCAGGAAGAACACCCGUGGCGAAGGCGGCUCUCUGGGACGGUACUGACGCUGAGGCGCGAAAGCGUGGGGAGCAAACAGG